rnacentral:tRNA from 1 species
AGUAAGGUGCCUGAUAAAAGGAUUAUUUUGAUAGAAUAAAUUAUAGUUUUACUUCUUACUU